AUUGAACGCUGGCGGCAGGCCUAACACAUGCAAGUCGAGCGAGCGGCGGACGGGUGAGUAAUGUAUGGGGACUGCCCGAUAGAGGGGGAUAACUACUGGAAACGGUGGAUAAUACAGCAUACUAUCGGAUAACCCAUAUGGGAUUAGCUAGUCGGUGGGGUAAAGGCGCACCUAGGCGACGAUCUCUAGCUGGUCUGCGCGGAUGAUCGGCCACACUGGGACUGUGACACGGCCCAGACUCCUGCGGAGGGACAGGUGGGGAAUAUUGCGCAAUGGGCGCAAGCCUGAUGCAGCCCUGCCGCGUGGAGGAAGAAGGCCUUCCGGUUGUAAAGUACUUUCAGCGUGGAGGCGUUCCCCGCAGAAGAAGCCCCGGCGAACUCCGGGCCAGCAGCCGCGGUAAUAC
rnacentral:rRNA from 1 species